ensembl:lncRNA
CUUGAAGGGAAUUGAGAAUUAAAAAGCAGAACAGUGUACCGUAAGCUAAGAGGCACAGAUUAAUUCAUAAAGCAUUUCAUUGCUGAAAAUAUUCUUAGACAGAAUGUUAACUGUCAUAUAAGAAGGAUGUUAAUUUAAUGUAACAAAAGGGUGCCAUAGAAAGGAUGCAUUUUAUAAAUCAGGUCAUCCCUGCAGGGUCGUCACACCUACACGUCAUUUUAGGAAGAGCACAGUCAAGCUGUGGCUCACCCAGGAAGACAGUCAGCGUGAUGAUGAAGAGGGACGGUAAGAAGAACCCUUAUCCAGGAAUGGGGAAUAAAAAAGCUCAGAUGACUUAGAAAUGAAGAAAAUUCUGUGGAGGCUGCUCCAAGAGACCUCAGCUGUCUGAAAACCAGGCACACUAAAGGGACACGAGGCUUUUUCUGUUAGGCUCCAGAAGGCAGAGGCGGAACCCAUGCUUGGAUUCAUCAGGAGGCUAGAAAUCAGCUCUCGGAACAGAACAAUUCACUUGUCUUUGGAACGAGCCUAUGAACCGCGCAAGGCUCAGAACCACAUGGCAGGAACCCUGGAUAACAGCAUCUCUUAUGCUUUCCCUUUAACUGCUUCAGGCACUAAACAGACACUCAGAUAUUCAGACCUAAUAUCCCAAAGAAGAGACUCAUCAGCCCAGCUUGGAACAGGUCCUGUGUUUGCACAAACCAACUCUGGACAUGAAUAAGAAUUGCAUGUUUUGUUUUUUAACCAACAGAUAAUUGUGUGGAGUGUGCGUGCAGAAGCACACAUGUCAGGAAUUGUUACCUCUGACUUUCUUAGUCUGUCUUACAUCUUUAAAGUCAAAAUCUCAAAACAUCACUCAUGAUUUUUCUCUAUUUUCUUAACUAAGCAGGGAUAAAAUAACUUCAUAUUUAAAUGUUCCUUUAAAUUACACCAAAAUGUUUUUCUUUCAUGUUUGCCAAAGUAUGUAUAAGUAUAUCAAGGCUAUAAUGUUUUGCAUGAGUUUGUAUUUAGUUUAUUAGGUAUCCAGCUGAUAUACAGUUAUCAUCCAAGUAUAUUUUGAAUUGUCUAAAAUAUUUGAAUUGAAUCUAAUUUGAUCUUUGCUCUGAAACAAUUUGUAGUAACAAAAGCAUACUUAAAAGUACUAAAUAGCACACGGAAUCAUAAUAUUUAGACAUCUGUAAAAAUAAUGAUUAAGACAUAUGCUGCAAGCAUUUUUUAAAUGAAAAAUAUUAGCCAUAUUGUUACUUGCUAAUGCCUUCAAAAUUUUCCUUACUCUGUCCACAUUAUGGGCACUGUGUUCUAUGUAUAUUUUUAUUCUAAAUCAUAACCACUUGAUGUCUUAAGAAUAAUCUAUUAGCUUGAUAACAAGAGCAAAGUAAUAAUUGUUUUGAAUGAUCCUCUACAGCAGUAGGUAAGAUUAAAAGGUAAACAUGGAGAUGUAGGCACAUAAUCACUAAAGAAAGGUAGUAAUAAGAAACUAUGCUUAAACAAAUAAAUAUUAAAAAUUGAUGUAUGAUAUGUAAGUAACGGGCUAAUAAAUUGAUUUGCUAAUUGUUCCUCGGGAUGAUUAACAUGAAUUUUUGGCAUAAUAUGCAUUCAUAAGUGUACUGAAUUCCUUUCCAAAUUGCCAAUGUUUUUAUUCCUCAGUCGGCAAUGUAAUCACUUCAGCUAUACUGAGAGAGAGUUUAUUUAGUAGCUGCUUGCACAGAGCUAUCUCCAAUUUCAUGGAAAACAAAUUCGGCAAUAUAAUCGGGGAGACUGAGUCACUAAAUAGGAGUCCAAAGACC